rnacentral:rRNA from 1 species
AGUGAACGCUGGCGGUAGGCCUAACACAUGCAAGUCGAACGGCAGCACAGUAAGAGCUUGCUCUUACGGGUGGCGAGUGGCGGACGGGUGAGGAAUACAUCGGAAUCUACUUUUUCGUGGGGGAUAACGUAGGGAAACUUACGCUAAUACCGCAUACGACCUACGGGUGAAUGCAGGGGAUCUUCGUACCUUGCGCGAUUGAAUGAGCCGAGCUCGGAUUAGAUAGUUGGGGGGGUAAAGGCCCACCAAGGCGACGGACCGUAGACGGUGGGAGCGGAGGGUAGGCCACAUGAGAACUGGAACAGGGACCAGACGCCUACGGGAGGGAGCAGUGUGGAAUAGUGGGCAGUGGGCGCAAGCAUGAUCCAGCCAUACCGCGUGGGUGAAGAAGGCCUUCGGGUUGUAAAGCCGUUUUGUUGGGAAAGAAAAGCAGCAGGUUAAGACCACGCUGUUCUGACGGUACCCAAAGAAUAAGCACCGGCUAACUUCGUG